UACGUAGGGUGCGAGCGGUGUCCGGAAUUAUUGGGCGUAAAGAGCUCGUAGGCGGCUUGUCACGUCGAUUGUGAAAGCCCGAGGCUUAACCUCGGGUCUGCAGUCGAUACGGGCUAGCUAGAGUGUGGUAGGGGAGAUCGGAAUUCCUGGUGUAGCGGUGAAAUGCGCAGAUAUCAGGAGGAACACCGGUGGCGAAGGCGGAUCUCUGGGCCAUUACUGACGCUGAGGAGCGAAAGCGUGGGGAGCGAACAGG
rnacentral:rRNA from 1 species